rnacentral:rRNA from 1 species
UACAGAGGUCCCAAGCGUUGUUCGGAUUCACUGGGCGUAAAGGGUGCGUAGGUGGUGGGGUAAGUCGGAUGUGAAAGCUCGGAGCUCAACUCCGAAAUGGCAUUGGAAACUACCCUGCUAGAGGAUUGGAGGGGGGACUGGAAUACUUGGUGUAGCAGUGAAAUGCGUAGAUAUCGGGAGGAACACCAGUGGCGAAGGCGGCAUCCUGGCCCUGUCCUGACGCUCAGGGGCGAAAGCGUGGGGAGCAACCGG